UGUAGUCAAGGAGAGAAUCCUGAGGUGCUCGAGUGAGUCAUGGCUAAGGAACUAGGCAAAUUAAACCUGUAACUUCGGGAAAAGGGUUGCCUCACUUUAGCAAUAAAGAAGGUCGCAGAGAAAUGGCCCAGGCGACUGUUUAACAAAAACACAUGGCUAUGCGAAAUCGUAAGAUGAAGUAUAUGGCCUGACACCUGCCCGGUGCUGGAAGGUUAAGGGGGGAAGUUAGUCGCAAGGCGAAGCUUUGAACUGAAGCCCCAGUAAACGGCGGCCGUACUAUAACGGUCCUAAGGUAGCGAAAUUCCUUGUCGGGUAAGUUCCGACCUGCACGAAUGGUGUAACGAUCUGGGCACUGUCUCAGCCAUGAGCUCGGUGAAAUUGUAGUCACGGUGAAGAUGCCGUGUACCCGUCACGGGACGGAAAGACCCCAUGCACCUUUACUAUAGCUUCGCAUUGACAUUGGGUAGAUGAUGUGUAGGAUAGGUGGGAGGCGUUGAUCCUGUGCCGCUAGGUAUAGGGGAGCCAACGGUGAAAUACCACCCUUUAUUUAUCUGAUGUCUAAUCCGCAAGACCUGCGGAGACAGUGCGUGGUGGGUAGUUUGACUGGGGUGGUCGCCUCCGAAAGUGUAUCGGAGGCUUUCAAAGGUAUGCUCAAUACGCUUGGCAACCGUAUGUGGAGUGCAAUAGCAUAAGCAUGCUUGACUGUGAGACUGACAAGUCGAGCAGGGUCGAAAGACUGAUAUAGUGAUCCGGUGGUUCUGUAUGGAAGGGCCAUCGCUCAAAGGAUAAAAGGUACGCUGGGAUAACAGGCUGAUCUCCCCCAAGAGCUCACAUCGACGGGGAGGUUUGGCACCUCGAUGUCGGCUCGUCACAUCCUGGGGCUGGAGAAGGUCCCAAGGGUUAGGCUGUUCGCCUAUUAAAGUGGCACGCGAGCUGGGUUCAGAACGUCGUGAGACAGUUCGGUCCCUAUCUGUGAUGGGCGUAGGAAGUUUGAGAGGAUCUGACCUUAGUACGAGAGGACCGGGUUGGACCAACCGCUGGUGUACCGGUUGUGGCGUCAGCUGCAUCGCCGGGUAGCUACGUUGGGACGAGAUAAGCGCUGAAAGCAUCUAAGCGCGAAACUCACCUCAAGAUGAGACUUCCAUUAAGGGACGUCAGAGACUAUGACGUUGAUAGGCUGCAGGUGUAAAGGCAGAAAUGUCAAAGCUGAGCAGUACUAAUUACCCGG
rnacentral:rRNA from 1 species